rnacentral:rRNA from 1 species
AGCGUACACGGUGGAUGCCCUGGCAGUCAGAGGCGAUGAAGGACGUGCUAAUCUGCGAUAAGCGUCGGUAAGGUGAUAUGAACCGUUAUAACCGGCGAUUUCCGAAUGGGGAAACCCAGUGUGAUUCGUCACACUAUCAUUAACUGAAUCCAUAGGUUAAUGAGGCGAACCGGGGGAACUGAAACAUCUAAGUACCCCGAGGAAAAGAAAUCAACCGAGAUUCCCCCAGUAGCGGCGAGCGAACGGGGAGCAGCCCAGAGCCUGAAUCAGUGUGUGUGUUAGUGGAAGCGUCUGGAAAGGCGCGCGAUACAGGGUGACAGCCCCGUACACAAAAAUGCACAUACUGUGAGCUCGAUGAGUAGGGCGGGACACGUGGUAUCCUGUCUGAAUAUGGGGGGACCAUCCUCCAAGGCUAAAUACUCCUGACUGACCGAUAGUGAACCAGUACCGUGAGGGAAAGGCGAAAAGAACCCCGGCGAGGGGAGUGAAAAAGAACCUGAAACCGUGUACGUACAAGCAGUGGGAGCACGCUUAGGCGUGUGACUGCGUACCUUUUGUAUAAUGGGUCAGCGACUUAUAUUCUGUAGCAAGGUUAACCGAAUAGGGGAGCCGAAGGGAAACCGAGUCUUAACUGGGCGUUAAGUUGCAGGGUAUAGACCCGAAACCCGGUGAUCUAGCCAUGGGCAGGUUGAAGGUUGGGUAACACUAACUGGAGGACCGAACCGACUAAUGUUGAAAAAUUAGCGGAUGACUUGUGGCUGGGGGUGAAAGGCCAAUCAAACCGGGAGAUAGCUGGUUCUCCCCGAAAGCUAUUUAGGUAGCGCCUCGUGAAUUCAUCUCCGGGGGUAGAGCACUGUUUCGGCAAGGGGGUCAUCCCGACUUACCAACCCGAUGCAAACUGCGAAUACCGGAGAAUGUUAUCACGGGAGACACACGGCGGGUGCUAACGUCCGUCGUGAAGAGGGAAACAACCCAGACCGCCAGCUAAGGUCCCAAAGUCAUGGUUAAGUGGGAAACGAUGUGGGAAGGCCCAGACAGCCAGGAUGUUGGCUUAGAAGCAGCCAUCAUUUAAAGAAAGCGUAAUAGCUCACUGGUCGAGUCGGCCUGCGCGGAAGAUGUAACGGGGCUAAACCAUGCACCGAAGCUGCGGCAGCGACGCUUAUGCGUUGUUGGGUAGGGGAGCGUUCUGUAAGCCUGCGAAGGUGUGCUGUGAGGCAUGCUGGAGGUAUCAGAAGUGCGAAUGCUGACAUAAGUAACGAUAAAGCGGGUGAAAAGCCCGCUCGCCGGAAGACCAAGGGUUCCUGUCCAACGUUAAUCGGGGCAGGGUGAGUCGACCCCUAAGGCGAGGCCGAAAGGCGUAGUCGAUGGGAAACAGGUUAAUAUUCCUGUACUUGGUGUUACUGCGAAGGGGGGACGGAGAAGGCUAUGUUGGCCGGGCGACGGUUGUCCCGGUUUAAGCGGGUAGGCUGGUUUUCCAGGCAAAUCCGGAAAAUCAAGGCUGAGGCGUGAUGACGAGGCACUACGGUGCUGAAGCAACAAAUGCCCUGCUUCCAGGAAAAGCCUCUAAGCAUCAGGUAACAUCAAAUCGUACCCCAAACCGACACAGGUGGUCAGGUAGAGAAUACCAAGGCGCUUGAGAGAACUCGGGUGAAGGAACUAGGCAAAAUGGUGCCGUAACUUCGGGAGAAGGCACGCUGAUAUGUAGGUGAAGUCCCUCGCGGAUGGAGCUGAAAUCAGUCGAAGAUACCAGCUGGCUGCAACUGUUUAUUAAAAACACAGCACUGUGCAAACACGAAAGUGGACGUAUACGGUGUGACGCCUGCCCGGUGCCGGAAGGUUAAUUGAUGGGGUCAGCGCAAGCGAAGCUCUUGAUCGAAGCCCCGGUAAACGGCGGCCGUAACUAUAACGGUCCUAAGGUAGCGAAAUUCCUUGUCGGGUAAGUUCCGACCUGCACGAAUGGCGUAAUGAUGGCCAGGCUGUCUCCACCCGAGACUCAGUGAAAUUGAACUCGCUGUGAAGAUGCAGUGUACCCGCGGCAAGACGGAAAGACCCCGUGAACCUUUACUAUAGCUUGACACUGAACAUUGAGCCUUGAUGUGUAGGAUAGGUGGGAGGCUUUGAAGUGUGGACGCCAGUCUGCAUGGAGCCGACCUUGAAAUACCACCCUUUAAUGUUUGAUGUUCUAACGUGGACCCGUGAUCCGGGUUGCGGACAGUGUCUGGUGGGUAGUUUGACUGGGGCGGUCUCCUCCUAAAGAGUAACGGAGGAGCACGAAGGUUGGCUAAUCCUGGUCGGACAUCAGGAGGUUAGUGCAAUGGCAUAAGCCAGCUUGACUGCGAGCGUGACGGCGCGAGCAGGUGCGAAAGCAGGUCAUAGUGAUCCGGUGGUUCUGAAUGGAAGGGCCAUCGCUCAACGGAUAAAAGGUACUCCGGGGAUAACAGGCUGAUACCGCCCAAGAGUUCAUAUCGACGGCGGUGUUUGGCACCUCGAUGUCGGCUCAUCACAUCCUGGGGCUGAAGUAGGUCCCAAGGGUAUGGCUGUUCGCCAUUUAAAGUGGUACGCGAGCUGGGUUUAGAACGUCGUGAGACAGUUCGGUCCCUAUCUGCCGUGGGCGCUGGAGAACUGAGGGGGGCUGCUCCUAGUACGAGAGGACCGGAGUGGACGCAUCACUGGUGUUCGGGUUGUCAUGCCAAUGGCACUGCCCGGUAGCUAAAUGCGGAAGAGAUAAGUGCUGAAAGCAUCUAAGCACGAAACUUGCCCCGAGAUGAGUUCUCCCUGACUCCUUGA